UACGUAGGGGGCUAGCGUUGUCCGGAAUCAUUGGGCGUAAAGAGCGUGUAGGCGGCCCGGUAAGUCCGCUGUGAAAGUCAAAGGCUCAACCUUUGAAUGUCAGCGGAUACUGCCGGGCUAGAGUCCGGAAGAGGCGAGUGGAACUCCUGGUGUAGCGGUGGAAUGCGCAGAUAUCAGGAGGAACACCGGUGGCGAAGGCGGGUCUCUGGGCAGUAACUGACGCUGAGGAGCGAAAGCGUGGGGAGCGAACAGG
rnacentral:rRNA from 1 species